CUGCUCUCUGAGGUCCACUUGGGACCCAUGCUCUGCAAUUUCCAGAAACGGCCUCUUCUUGAGACUGUCAGGAGACAACUUGGCAUGAUAGAAGAUGGGCAUUUAAGAACUCAACCUGAAUUCAUACCACUGACUUAAAACUUGCUACCUGGGUGACCUUGGGAAAAUUUCUUGUCAACUCUGGCUAGAACUUGCAUGGCAGGAGACUUGCUCCGCGAGGGCUCUGUCUGCUCUUCUUGCUGCUGGCACAAAGUAUUUGGUGAAGGAAUGAAUGAAUGACCAAGUGAAUGGAGCAGAAGGAAGAGGCAAUGUCCCUUCUCAGUCAGUCUGGGGACAGAAAGUGUGGAAUCGCGGUUGGAAGUGGGAAGCACAGCAAGGAUCCAUGUCUCCAGCUUCGCCCCGCCCAGGACAUCCACAUGGCACUGUUUUCUCGGUGGAAAAACCCUGGUAAUGGGAAGGCUCUGGGGAUUUCAGGGAAUGACCAUGUUUUCAGGAGGAAACCGCAGCCUGCAUCAUCUUCGUUUGGCUGGGCCCUCCUCCGCAAAGUCCUCUAAGAUGUCCCACAGUCACUGAGCUCACCGUUGUCCUCCAUCCCAGCAGGAGCAGCCAUCUGCCUCUUCAAGGAGGCUGUGCCCCUGAGGGUCUGGGUCUCACCCAGGCUUGGCCGCCCGCCCUCCACUAUGCCUUCACUACCGCCUCCACUGAAGACGUGGAGCCCAAGCCAGGCACUAUCUCACUCCCUGCUCACAAUAUUCCUGGGUGAAGCACACUAUCACUAGUCCUAUUUUAGAUCUGAGGGGACAGAGGAUCAGAGGGGCCAAGAACUUAGGCGCAAAUCCCACAGCUGAUGGGUCUGAUUCCAGAAGCUUUGCCAUUAAAGGUAUUACCCUGUUCCCUGCGUCCCAUGUAGGGGCCAAGAGCUGGAGGUGGAGCCCCCUGGAGGUCUGUCAUAGUCACUACAGAACCUCAGCUUCAUUUAAGUCACGGUUAAGGGGCUGGAGGUGUAGCUCAGUGGUAGAGUGCUUGCCUAGCAUUUGCAUGGCCCUGGGUUCCAUCCCCAGCACUGCAAAAAAACAGAACACAACCCAAACAACAACAACAGCAAUAACAUCAUGGAUUAAUAGACAUUUGCUGAGUGCCUACUACAAGAGUUCUUGGAUUGGGUUCAGGGUCAAAGUUUGAUGGAAAGGACAGAGCCGGCAGGACACCCUCGAAGCUGGAGGCUCCCUGCUCCUCCCACCUCCUCCCUGCUGUGCUCCUGUAAUGACAUCACCCUCACAAGCCAGCUAUCUUUCUUUAUUUUUAAAAAGAUGGAUUCUUUUGUGCCUAAACUUGUCUUAAAUUAC
rnacentral:lncRNA from 1 species